CCGCCAUCUUGAACGGCACGCGGCGAAAGAGGAAAACACGAGGUCUCGGAGCACGAGGAGUCCGGAAAGUCUUUUUACAGGACGAUGAGGACUCUCAGGCAGUCGAGGGGUCCCGGGACGCGUCGAACACCCUGGAGCACAUCAAUCCUGUCCGGCUGCCUCGUUGCAAGACUAUCAGCGAGGGAGAGAGAACGCCCACUCGGCAGGCUCGUCACGAGGGUUCGCCGUUUCCAGAAGGCGCGGCGUGCACGCACGCGGUCGUUAACAAACGAUCCUCUGAAUAUUCUUUCUCCCCGCACGUGUCCACGAUACGAUUGUCGAAACCCUGACGAUUCGAGAUCGACUCUGCAGUUUCCGACACGUUCUUAAACACACGUACCCGAGAACUUCGGAACACACGAGGCGCGACAGGGCUGUGCGUGGUUAAGAACACGCUGACUCGGCGAUUUCACGAGAGCCGAGCGCAAAAUUAACCGGCACGGGAUUAUCGAACGUGUACCUUUUUAAGGGCGGACCCGUGGUUGAUCGUGGUAUAGAACAGCGAGGCAACAAGAGUUACAGGACAAUCGGAGCACACCUUGUCGGGCCUAGAAUUUAUCUUCGGGUCGGAUCUUCUUUUGUAAUUCCUGGGUUUUCCUUCGUAGUUCCCUUCGUGGACGGGCAGAGAGGUUUUGUCACAACUGCGAUGAAUUCGGAGGCACCGUUUUUAAUGUCGCGUUAACACGGAUUACGUAAACACGGCAUUUUCGGCGACCUUUUUCCACGGAAAAGCGGUCCACAAAACACAUGUGGCCAACGCUGGCUCCUGGCCUUUACGCGAGCGGCUACAAAGCUUCCGGUUUGAUCGAUUAUAGUUUCUGAACGACAGACGGCGACACUGUGCUUCCUCUUCAACCAAGACCCGCGAGAGGGCAAGUUGAGAUUAAUGAAGAAUAGUAUCUGGCAAGGACUCGAUGCCUUAUCGAAGUCAAGAGUGGUGGGGGCAUCUUUUAGUUACAGGAGUGCCUCUCCGUAGUGAGCCAAUCAGGGGCCAGCCGGCUUCGAAUUAAGAAGCAGGUAGGGAAACUGCUUCUCCUCUGAUUGGUUGACCCUUCACAGCUGAACAGUGCUGUCCCCACAGUUUUAGACAAAGAGAGAAAGUGGCGAAAUAAAAACAGUUAACAAAUAUGUAUCCUCAUUAUGAUUCGAAUAAUUGUACAAUGGUUAAAUAAAUAGACGGAGUAGUUUGUUCGAAUAAAUAAAUGGAAUAGUUUGUUCAAAUAAAUAGAUAGAAUACUUUAAUCGAAUAAACAAACGGUACAGAUUGAUCGAAUAAGUUAACUGAACAGAUCGAUAGAAUAAAUAGACGGAACAAAUCGAACUUAUUCAAACUAUGUAGUUCGAAAUUAUUUCGAAUAAAUAUCUCACUAAUAUAA